GCUGAAUAUACCGGUUCUCGUUAGAUCACCGAUUAUCAUUGGGCGCGGUCAGUACUUGGGUGGGUGACCACCUGGGAACACUGCGUGCCGUU